UUACCUGUUAGGUUCACUCCCUCUGGGGCACCUGGCAUUGGCCACUGUUGGUAGACAGGAUGCUGGGCUAGAUGGACCUUUGUUCUGACCCAGUACGGCCGUUCUUAUGUUCUUAUGUAGGAGACCAGUGGGCAUGGGAAGGAGGGUUCAGGGGGCUAGGGCCCCAGGGAGCGGGUGCAGGGGGCUGGGGCAUGAGAAGGAGGGUGCAGCCAGUGCAUGGGGGACAGACUGUAGGUGUGUGGACUGGUGGCUGGGGACAGUCCUUGGAUGGGAGGCUAGAUAGACACAGUCCCUGGAUGGAGGGAUUGAGGGCAGGGAGCAAGUGCUGGGGGGGGAGGUCCUGGGUGGAGGACUGGAUGCUGGAGGGGGCAGUCCCUGGGGGGGCUGUUCUGCCCUGGACAGGGCACCCUGUCUCUUCAAAGCAGGCACGUGUGCCAGACCACUGUUGGGGGGGUGUCUGGAUGCUGGGGGGGACAGUCCCAGGAGGGUUGGGUGAUGUGGGGCAUUCCCUAGGUGGGGGGACUGGGUGCCUGGAGUACAGUCCCUGGCUCGGGUGAGCACCCCACCCUGGGCAGGGCUCCUCAUCUUUGCAGGCGGGCUCCGCAGCCAUGCUCUCCAGGCACCCAGCCUAGCCACGCUGCCAGCAGCAGCGUGUCAUGCCAUGCCACUCCUCCAGUAAAUUAAUUUUAAGUUAAUGUCUUAACUUAUUUUGCUAAUUUAAAAUGCUCUUGAUAGACAUUUGCCAGUAUUGAAAUGAAAGGUACUAAAUUGAUUUGAAUCGUAUUGCUAUCAUAUAACAAAUACUAAAUCUUUUUUUUUUUUCCCAGAAGUAUUGCAGUGGUUCUCAAACUGUGGGUUGGAACCCCAAAGUGGGUCGCAACCCUGUUUUAAUGGGGUUGCCAGAGCUGGCGUUAGACUUGCUGGGGCCUGGGACUGAAGCCGAAGCCUGAGCUUUGACUUCCCUUAAGCUUCAGCUUCCAUUUAGCUUCACACCAACCUGGGGUGGCAGGGCUUAGGUUGUGCCCCCCUGCCCAGGGCGGCAGGGCUUGGUGGGGCUUAGGUUUCUGUCCCCCCUGCUGGGGUCAUGUAGUAAUUUUUUGUUGUCAGAAGGGGGUCCCGGUGCAAUGAAAUUUGAGAACCCAUGAUGUAUUGUAUUGUGGAUGGGGCCCACAUAACACAUAGAGAGCUGUAUGCGUCCCACAAUGGUAAAUAGGUUAAGAACCACUGUUCUAGAGAUAUAACCUUCAGUCUAAAUUCCAUGUGGUAUGCAGACAGAAUUACUUUCUAUUGGAAAAAUCUUCUAUUCUGCAUGCAUAUCAGAAUGCAGGAUCAAAUCUAAUGUCUAUUUAGUGAAAAUCAUUAGACUCUCAGAUACAUUUAUACCCAUUAUGUGUAUAUAUAAAGUAUCAUUUGAAAAUCAAAAUAAAAUUUCAAAAAUGUUUUGAUAUUUCCAGAAAGGAUUUGAUGUGUUCAAUGCACUAGACUUGAUGGAAAACAAAACAUUCCUGGAAAAACUCAAGUUUGGGAUAGGAGAUGGGAACUUGCAGUAUUAUUUGUACAACUGGCGGUGUCCUGGCAUGGAAUCCGAAAAGGUUGGCCUUGUAUUACAAUAAGGAGGACCAUUGUGUUUCUAGAACUCUGAAGCUGUCAUUUGGAUUGAUUUAAUCUACAUAACAGUUCUUGGAACAGUAUUGUUCAAGAGGAAUAAAAGCACAACAUCAGUGAAAUUGAAAUAAUCCAUCAAAACUAAAAUAAUGAAGAAAUCCGUAGCUGACCAAUUUUCACAUUUUCAGAUAAAAUGGAAAGUUCAUGAAACUUUUAUUGUCCAUAAAAAGAAUAAAAGCACAUUCAUUUAAUUUUCAAAGCUUAGCUCGCACCUUGAUAAAAAGACGGUAUUUUUUUCCACUCUGUAGAAAAGACUGUUUUGUACAAACUGAACUGCAGUGGUGGAUUAGGGUACGAAAAUCUUUGCUAUUAUGUGAAUGAACUGCUGCAUUUCUAUUUAUUAAGUGGUGGUGUAUGUUUGUCAGUGUAACAGAAUGAAGGAUCCAAACUGAGUAUCUUUGCUUAUAAAAUUCACAUGGAUGUCAUCAUUUGGGGUAAAAUAAUGGAGUUAUGAUACAUUUGUAGCUAAUAGGAAAGUCUUGGAUGUUUUUGUAACUGGAGCAGUAUGAAAAUGUGCUGGUUUGACUAGUGCAUUUGUUUCUCCAUAAGCAACGCUGCCAAAUCAAUAAAAAUACAGAUUUGUACUUUGA